UCGAGCGGAACGAUGGUAGCUUGCUACCAGGCGUCGAGCGGCGGACGGGUGAGUAAUACUUAGGAAUCUACCUAGUAGUGGGGGAUAGCACGGGGAAACUCGUAUUAAUACCGCAUACGACCUACGGGAGAAAGGGGGCAGUUUACUGCUCUCGCUAUUAGAUGAGCCUAAGUCGGAUUAGCUAGAUGGUGGGGUAAAGGCCUACCAUGGCGACGAUCUGUAGCUGGUCUGAGAGGAUGAUCAGCCACACCGGGACUGAGACACGGCCCGGACUCCUACGGGAGGCAGCAGUGGGGAAUAUUGGACAAUGGGGGAAACCCUGAUCCAGCCAUGCCGCGUGUGUGAAGAAGGCCUUUUGGUUGUAAAGCACUUUAAGCAGUGAAGAAGACUCUUCGGUUAAUACCCGGAGACGAUGACAUUAGCUGCAGAAUAAGCACCGGCUAACUCUGUGCCAGCAGCCGCGGUAAUACAGAGGGUGCAAGCGUUAAUCGGAAUUACUGGGCGUAAAGCGAGCGUAGGUGGCUUGAUAAGUCAGAUGUGAAAUCCCCGGGCUUAACCUGGGAACUGCAUCUGAAACUGUUAGGCUAGAGUAGGUGAGAGGGAAGUAGAAUUUCAGGUGUAGCGGUGAAAUGCGUAGAGAUCUGAAGGAAUACCGAUGGCGAAGGCAGCUUCCUG
rnacentral:rRNA from 1 species